UGAGCAAUCUGCCCUUCUCAUCGGAAUAAGCGUUGGAAACGACGUCUAAUGCCGAAUACGACCUCCUUUCGCAUGAUCGGAGGUGGAAAGCUCCGGCGGAGAAGGAUGAGCUCGCGGCCUAUCAGCUAGUUGGUGUGGGUAAUGGCCCACCAAGGCGACGACGGGUAGCUGGUCUGAGAGGAUGGCCAGCCACAGUUGGGACUGAGACACGGCCCAGACUCCGUACGGGG
rnacentral:rRNA from 1 species